rnacentral:SRP_RNA from 1 species
GCUGAGCCCGGCAACGUGGGCUUGUAACCCGAGUGGGGGCUGUAAGGUGGUGGAACGUUGACUCAGCCCAGAUGGCCGGGUUCAGAUUAGCUAGAUUCUGGCUCGCCCGUUUCAAGCCAGGAGUCGAGCCAUGGCUUCCGAGUGAAGACGUGGGUGUCAUGGCUCCUAGAGUGGAGGGUACAGCGUGAGGCUGGCUUCACAGAGCAGCGACUACUUCCCUCUCUUGGCAGUGAAAGGAUAACGUGUCGGUGCUGUCUGAAGUCCAUCUGGCUUAAUGGGCUGGUCUAACUGGACCAUCACUUU